UUUUGGAUUUCCUAAAAGUUCCACUUUUGAAUUUCUUUCAAUUUAAUUUCUCACAAUCCUUGCUUCCUUGUUUCCUUGUUUCCUUGUUUCCUUGGUUCUCGUCUCAACCCUAAACCUAGAAACCUAGAAAUCAAAUAUGUUCCAAAAUUUUAAUGAAUAAAUACGAGUAGAACUCAUUCAGCACGAGGGGGGAUCGAGAAAGAGGGGAAAGAAGAGAUAGAUUAGUGGUCGUUGCGGUAGACAAGGACAAAUACAGCCUGCAAGCUCUCCACUGGGAUGUUGAUAAUUUCCUCAUCAGAGGCCAAACCUUGAGGCUCGUUCAUGUUCUUCAUAAACCAAUCAGCCCUGUUAAUCCAGAUGAUGGUAGCGUUGUUAUUGAUCCACAAGUUGUCAGAACAUGGACUUCUUCCUUCGACUUCGAAGCUUAUGCGCCCGUAAACAGAUACAGUGUGAAGCAGUUGUACUAGAGGAUUCAGAUGUUGCAAAAGCACUUGUCGGAUAUGUUCACCAAUAUGAAAUUGAAACUCUGUUUGUUGGUGCAGCAUCAAAGACUGGAAUUUCAAUGUACCCCAUAAAUAAUGCAUGUUUUCCUUCUACUUUUCAAAAGUGUAUGAAUGUAUGUAUGCAUGAAUUUUGCGUUAUGUACGUGUCGGUUAUUCGAAGGAACAGAUGUUCAAUCUAUCAUACUAAAAUUGGCACCAGAAUUUUGCAAUGUUUAUGUCAUUUCAAGAAGAAAGGUUGCUGCUGCAAGAACUGCUACUCGUUCAGUCCCCAGUACAGCUCAAAUAUUAGUAUGUUACUGAGUAAUUUCAUUUUUCUUAUUUGCAUAUUGCUCUGAGCCUGUGAUAUUGAUGAUUUGAAGUUGUGUUUUAGAUUCACUUUUUAACUUUUAGAAAAUAAAUAGCCGAAGAUUCGUGACGAUUGAUUGAUUUUUCCUAGACUUGAUUUUGCCUUGUUUUCUUUUUUGGAUAAAAUUAUGUAUAUUUUCCAGUUGAAAAUCUCAUUAUCUGUCGCCAGAUUAUGAGUUUAUGCUCAAUAUUGUGACAUUGUCUGCUUUUGAUGGCAUGCAUUUCAAAUCAGGGCUCUGUACUUUACUAAAAUUAUAUGGUUUGCUUGCUAGUUGAAUUAACAAUUUUUGGCAUUCGUCUUUCAUAAGAGUUAGGAGCCUAUCGAUAUAAAUGUUUUGGUUUCUUUUUACCCAUUUUUCAAAUAUGAAUAAGCUUUUGUUUGAGAGACAAGUGAGAUUCUGGAUGCUUAAAAAGUUAUUGUUAGUGUAAAUAUAUCCCUUUUGAAUUACUUGAUUUUUUUGUGAACGGCCUAAACUUUUGUUCCUUAUUUAUUUUCUGCAUAUUUUUUCCAUGUAUUUGAACAAAUGCACUAGUAAAUUGUAGCAUUUCAAACGGGAUAACGAAUAGAGCUGCCAUCCAACUAGUGCCAGCUUACAUUACAAGAAUUUUGACCUGCAUUGUCAAAUUUAGUCAGUUAUGCGACAUUGCAACUAUAAAUAUUAUAUAAUUAAACUUUAAUUUAUCUGAUUAAAUAUGUAAUUCCCUUUACACUCUUUCAAGAGAAAAGAAAAUGGGAGCUCCCUGUUUGUAUUCCUUUCUUUUUUUUAAUCAAGAGAGAGCCUACUCCUUUUGCAUUCAGGGGAGGUUUUAUAGAACCCCUCAAUAUUACAAAAAAUCAAAUAAUUAAAUGAAAAAGGUUUUUUUCCCUUCCUCUGACAUUCUUCUCUUUGUUAUGCUCUUUUCUAGUUUGCUUGUGAGAAACUUGCUGACAGGUACAGGGAGAGCAUGGUCCCCAGCAGCAAAGGGCAUGGACACGAGCAUGGAUGCAUCUGUUGUUAAGGCAGAUAAGGACCAUUGUUGCAUGCGUGGCAAGGAGAGGAAGAUUGUUGGUGUGCUUCUCAGUUUUUGGGUUGCUCAUGAGUCAUUGUUGGGACUAUUAUUGAGCAUUAAAUGCCCCAAUUUUGUAU